CGGGGAACCACCGGCAGGCGGGCGGGGCUCGCUCCGGUUUUGUGACGCAGGACGCAGGCGGACGUGCGCGGCCUCCUGUCUUUUUUCAUAAUAGCCAUCCUAACAGCAGGUCACAAUUGCAGAGGAGUGAAUGUUUCUUCCUCUCCAGAAGUUAUUCUCCACCAGUGACUGAUGGGAGCUGAUGUGAACACUUCAGGCCCCUCACUCCUUGUGGUGAGCUAACACUGUGGUUCACUAAAUUAUAUGUAGAAUAACAAUUCCUCAACAUGAAGAAAUGCAUGCAGAAGUCGGGAACACUGGCACAGCUCAGGAGGCUGAGAGGGAGGAUUGUUUGAGUUCAGGAGUUCAAGGUCAUCCCCAGAGACAUAACAAGAUUCAUUUUCAAGGGAAAAACACCAAUUCACAGAAUUUGAAGGUUAUAAGGAAUCAUAGCUACUUGAAGAAAUGUCAGAUUUCAUGUCUGUGGCAGAAAAUAUACAGAAUGAACCAGAAGCAUCUUAUAUAGGAAAUUAAAAACAACUAUCCAAUAUUACUGUAGGAGGCAUGUGUCAGUUUAAGCAUCAAAAAGAACAGUAACUUCACUGGACUGGAAGACAUCAUGUAUAUUCAUGGAUUCAUAAAGAUAUAUAAAGCAAUGAAAAAACAGAAUUUUUUGAUCAAUUUUGAAGAAUGCCAAGGAAUUACCUCAUUAUUCUGAAUGCUGAUAAAUAAAAGCAAACAGGGUCUCAUUAAGUCACUAAGUUGCCCAGGCUGGUCUAGGAAGUUGAGUCCUCCUGCCUCAGCCUCCUAGAGUGCUGGAAUUAUAGGAACCAUCCUGAACCAUGAAUGGUCCGUGGCAUGUCAGGAAUGAAGCAGCACAGUGGAUGUGAAGGCAGGAGAGCAGAUUGGAGCUUCAUCUGUAUUUCCAGUACUCCCCAGUGCUCACUUUACAUCAGCUGUGGCAUUAGAUUCUCAUAGGAGCAAGACCCCUACUAUGAACUGAGGGAUCUAGUUUUCAUGCUCCUUUGAAUAAUCCCUAAACCACCUCCCUUUUUUCCCCAUCUAUGGAAAUAUUGUCUUCCACAAAACUGGUCCCUGAUGCCAAAAAGGCUGGAGACUGUGGUCCUAAAC
rnacentral:lncRNA from 1 species